UACGGGGGGGGCAAGCGUUGUUCGGAAUUACUGGGCGUAAAGGGCUCGUAGGCGGCCAACUAAGUCGGAUGUGAAAUCCCCAGGCUCAACUUGGGAACUGCAUCCGAUACUGGAUGGCUUGAGUUCGGGAGAGGGAUGUGGAAUUCCAGGUGUAGCGGUGAAAUGCGUAGAUAUCUGGAGGAACACCGGUGGCGAAGGCGGCAUCCUGGACCGACACUGACGCUGAUGAGCGAAAGCCAGGGGAGCAAACGGG
rnacentral:rRNA from 1 species